rnacentral:rRNA from 1 species
UAGGGAAUCUUCGGCAAUGGGGGGAACCCUGACCGAGCAACGCCGCGUUAGUGAAGAAGGUUUUCGGAUCGUAAAGCUCUGUUGUUAAGGAAGAACGAGUGUGAGAAUGGAAAGUUCAUGCUGUGACGGUACUUAACCAGAAAGGGACGGCUAACUACGUGCCAGCAGCCGCGGUAAUACGUAGGUCCCGAGCGUUGUCCGGAUUUAUUGGGCGUAAAGCGAGCGCAGGCGGUUAGAAAAGUCUGAAGUGAAAGGCAGUGGCUCAACCAUUGUAGGCUUUGGAAACUGUUUAACUUGAGUGCAGAAGGGGAGAGUGGAAUUCCAUGUGUAGCGGUGAAAUGCGUAGAUAUAUGGAGGAACACCGGUGGCGAAAGCGGCUCUCUGGUCUGUAACUGACGCUGAGGCUCGAAAGCGUGGGGAGCGAACAGG